rnacentral:rRNA from 1 species
GACGAACGCUGGCGGCGUGCUUAACACAUGCAAGUCGAACGGAAAGGCCCUGCUUUUGUGGGGUGCUCGAGUGGCGAACGGGUGAGUAACACGUGAGUAACCUGCCCUUGACUUUGGGAUAACUUCAGGAAACUGGGGCUCAUACCGGAUAGGAGCUCCUGCUGCAUGGUGGGGGUUGGAAAGUUUCGGCGGUUGGGGAUGGACUCGCGGGUUAUCAGCUUGUUGGUGGGGUAGUGGCUUACCAAGGCUUUGACGGGUAGCCGGCCUGAGAGGGUGACCGGCCACAUUGGGACUGAGAUACGGCCCAGACUCCUACGGGAGGCAGCAGUGGGGAAUAUUGCACAAUGGGCGGAAGCCUGAUGCAGCAACGCCGCGUGCGGGAUGACGGCCUUCGGGUUGUAAACCGCUUUCGCCUGUGACGAAGCGUGAGUGACGGUAAUGGGUAAAGAAGCACCGGCUAACUACGUG